UUUGUAUAAUGGGUCAGCGACUUAUAUUCUGUAGCAAGGUUAACCGAAUAGGGGAGCCGAAGGGAAACCGAGUCUUAACUGGGCGUUAAGUUGCAGGGUAUAGACCCGAAACCCGGUGAUCUAGCCAUGGGCAGGUUGAAGGUUGGGUAACACUAACUGGAGGACCGAACCGACUAAUGUUGAAAAAUUAGCGGAUGACUUGUGGCUGGGGGUGAAAGGCCAAUCAAACCGGGAGAUAGCUGGUUCUCCCCGAAAGCUAUUUAGGUAGCGCCUCGUGAAUUCAUCUCCGGGGGUAGAGCACUGUUUCGGCAAGGGGGUCAUCCCGACUUACCAACCCGAUGCAAACUGCGAAUACCGGAGAAUGUUAUCACGGGAGACACACGGCGGGUGCUAACGUCCGUCGUGAAGAGGGAAACAACCCAGACCGCCAGCUAAGGUCCCAAAGUCAUGGUUAAGUGGGAAACGAUGUGGGAAGGCCCAGACAGCCAGGAUGUUGGCUUAGAAGCAGCCAUCAUUUAAAGAAAGCGUAAUAGCUCACUGGUCGAGUCGGCCUGCGCGGAAGAUGUAACGGGGCUAAACCAUG
rnacentral:rRNA from 1 species